UACGGAGGGUGCAAGCGUUAAUCGGAAUUACUGGGCGUAAAGCGCACGCAGGUGGCUGAGUCAGUCGAUUGUGAAAGCCCUGGGCUUAACCUGGGAAUUGCAGUCGAUACUACUCAGCUAGAGUAUGGGAGAGGGUAGUGGAAUUCCCGGUGUAGCGGUGAAAUGCGUAGAUAUCGGGAGGAAUACCGAUGGCGAAGGCAGGUCUCUGGGCUGACACUGACGCUCAUGCACGAAAGCGUGGGGAGCAAACAGG
rnacentral:rRNA from 1 species